UUUGGGAGAUGAUGAGAAAAUUCAAACAAAUCACCUGAGGCAUCAGAUGUGCUGAAAGUCUAUUUUGCACGUCAGUCUGAUCCCAGA